UGGGGGAUAUUGCACAAUGGGCGAAAGCCUGAUGCAGCGACGCCGCGUGGGGGAUGAAGGCCUUCGGGUUGUAAACUUCUUUUGCUCUGAACAAGGCGCACCAUGGGGUGUGUUGAGUGUAGGGGUUGAUAGCGCCGGCUAACUACGUGCCAGCAGCCGCGGUAAUACGUAGGGCGCGAGCGUUGUCCGGAAUUAUUGGGCGUAAAGGGCUUGUAGGUGGCUGGUUGCGUCUGUCGUGAAAGCUCAUGGCUUAACUGUGGGUUUGCGGUGGGUACGGGCUGGCUUGAGUGCAGUAGGGGAGGCUGGAAUUCCUGGUGUAGCGGUGGAAUGCGCAGAUAUCAGGAGGAAUACCGGUGGCGAAGGCGGGUCUCUGGGCUGUUACUGACACUGAGGAGCGAAAGCAUGGGGAGCGAACAGG
rnacentral:rRNA from 1 species